CUCAUGUUAAUAGUUUUGAUCAGUUCUGAGUUGAUUAUGAUCGGUUUCUCAUGUGUCUCUGCAGAUUAAGAGUCUGAUGAGUCGAGCUGAAUACCUGAAAGAGCUGAUCAAGAUGCGGGAAACUCAGACCGACGAGUCGCUGAAGAAAGACGCCGUGGCUGAAUCCGUCAGAUCCUCCUGUUGUUUACAGUGAUACGGGUCCUCGCCAUGGCAACCGAUGCCACGCGUCACAUGGCCUGAGGAUCCCCAGCAUCUGAUUGGUUCCUGGCAGACGGUCAAACUGUGUGUGUUCAUCUGGACGAGAUUUAAGAAAUAAACCUUCACACUGAGAGACUCAA